rnacentral:rRNA from 1 species
UACGAAGGGGGCUAGCGUUGUUCGGAAUUACUGGGCGUAAAGCGUGCGCAGGCGGCUUCUCAAGUCAGGGGUGAAAGCCCAGAGCUCAACUCUGGAAUUGCCUUUGAGACUGAGUGGCUUGAGUACGAGAGAGGUGAGUGGAAUUCCCAGUGUAGAGGUGAAAUUCGUAGAUAUUGGGAAGAACACCGGUGGCGAAGGCGGCUCACUGGCUCGUAACUGACGCUCAUGCACGACAGCGUGGGGAGCAAAAGGG